UACAAAAAAUACAAAAAUUAGCCAGAUGAGAUGGUGUACACUUGUAGCCCCAGCUACUCAGGAGACUGAGUCGGGGAGGUUAAGGCUGCAGUGAGCCAUGACCCUGUUCUUCCCACACAUCUUCCCUCUCCAGAUCCCGAAGAAAAGAUUGAUAUUGGGCUGCCUCCACCCAAAGUCUCCCGGACCCAACAGCUACUGGAACGGAAACAGGCCAUCCGGGAGCUUCGGGCCAAUGUGGAAGAGGAGCGGGCUGCCCGCCUCCGCACAGCCAGUGUCCCGCUGGAUGCUGUGCGGGCCGAGUGGGAGAGGACCUGUGGCCCCUACCACAAGCAGCGUCUGGCUGAGUAUUACGGCCUCUACCGAGACCUGUUCCACGGUGCUACCUUUGUGCCCCGAGUCCCUCUGCACGUGGCCUACGCUGUGGGUGAGGACGACCUGAUGCCCGUGUACUGUGGCAAUGAGGUGACUCCAACCGAGGUAACCGCUCACUUGUGCCCCUCCUCCCUGCAAGCACAGACACAU
rnacentral:sRNA from 1 species